rnacentral:tRNA from 1 species
AGUGGCCGAGCGGUCAAAAGCGACAGACUGUAAAUCUGUUGAAGGUUUCCUUCUACGUAGGUUCGUUCCCACUAAAACUU